GGACGAUUAACUCAGAUGGUAGAGUGUCACCUCGACAAGGUGGAAGUCGUUGGUUCGAGCCCAAUAUCGCCCACCA
rnacentral:tRNA from 1 species